GGAACCUAUAGUCUCUGAGCAGCAUGAUCUUCCCUCAUUGGAUGCUGUUGAAAGUUCGGUUACUGAUGCUCUGAGUGAAGUGGAUGAAACACAGACCUCUGUUGGACAUCAAUAUGCUUCUACAGAGAGGUCCAUCUCACAGUGUGAAGAAGAAUUGGCAUACUCAGACAAAUCCAUUGAUGAACAUCCAUCAGAUGAUAAGGAAGUAAAGGAGACACCAGCUAUCCUGGUUGAGUCAAUUGAGGAAGCAAGCACCACUGAGACCUUAAAUGUUUCAGAAAUCCAUGACCUUGAUGAUGGAAUUCCUAUUAUCAGCUCCCCACGUACUCCCAACUCUAUUUCCAUCUGCAUGAGGUUGUUGAGGCCCCAAGAGGUGCUAGUCUAUCAGGUCUUAAGAACAUGAUCCUCGAGGAAAAUGAUAACCAGAUCAAAGUAUUGGAGAACUAUGUAUUGCCACCAGAAGCAGCUGAUU
rnacentral:misc_RNA from 1 species